rnacentral:lncRNA from 10 species
GUGUGACAUCAAUUUUUUAAAAUUGAAACACAAAUCAAUACUCUGUGUGUUUAUGGAUACAUAUGUAGGUUUUACAAGUAUGAAAACAAACAUAGGUCUGAAAAACAUAAUCCUGAAUUUUAUUUUUACCUCCAACGAAAAAGGGAAAACAUCUAAAAAUUAAACCCAGUGUCUUUUGGAGGCAUGAUACUCUAGAGCUAAGUUGUAGAUUUUUUUCGUUAUUUUAAAUGGUAUUUUAAGAUGCGCAAAAAGAAGUACAGGUGAUGAUACAACAGACUUAGCUGAUAUUUAUGACUCAGCGGUACACCUAAAAUAUUACAGGUUUAUUGGAAGCCCUAAUCCGAUUUUCCUUUCUCCUUGACCGGAUGGAUUAUCCUGCCUCUGUGAAGUGUAACUUUAAAGAGAAGGCGAAUGAGCUUCUAGAGAGCUACCAAGACAGUCACUACUUCAUCAUCAGUAAAAGCUGUUUACUUCCGAUGUGUAAUAAACCCACGUGACCAUUUGGGGGCGCCAGAGUCCAGCACAGGCCGGCCGAGCCCGCGUUCUUCCCGGGGAAUGCAACAGCUGAUUCACCUGCUCCACGCUGAUUAAUAAUCAAACUACCAUUGUGUGGGGCCUAUCUUCCUACUGGACCUCAAAACCCACCUACUCCACAAGUUUAUCUUCACAAUUAUGAGCUACCUGCUUCACGUCACACUACAGCACCUAAAAGCAAAUAAUAAAGUUUAUUCUUGAGUUAACCUGCCUCUGUGUUCAGCCAAUCCCUCCUGCACGUGAGUGAUGCACCUGGAUGCUGCAUAAGGAGAGAUGGAAAUACCUAAGGUGUGGUCCUUACUUCCAAGGGGCUUAUAGCAGAACGAAGACUCGAAAGCAAGCACACCCACAACCACAACACAGCCGCUGGCACACACAGCAGGAAAGACACCGGGUUUAAUGGAGCAGAGAAAGGGGGCGUCAUCUCCAGGCACAGCUCCAUGAAGAAGAUGACAUUGACCUGGGAGCUCUGAGCCUUCAUAUAAUGAGUAAGCUUUCAGCUGGAAGAAAUCCCAAGUGGAGAAACAGGAAGCUAUAAAAGAGCAAUGGUUUUGGAUUCACAAAACCUGCCUGAGUGAACCUGGUUGCCAUUCUAGCACAGAGAUCCUGUCUCAAAAAAAAAAAAAAAAGAGGCCUGAGAGAACGUGUUUAUGUCUUUUCCCAUGUGAAGACACAGCUAGAAAGCACCAUCCUUGAAACUGAGAGCAAGCCCUCAUCAGUCAGUGAAUCUGCUGAUGCCAUGUUCUUGGAAUUCCCAGCUUCCAGAACUGUGAGCAAUAAAUGUACAUAGAUUGCAAAUUACCCAGUCUAAGGUAUUUUGUUACAACAGCCCAAAAAUACUAAGACAAUAUUCACC